rnacentral:lncRNA from 1 species
CCAAAUUAUAGUACCCUUGAUUUGAAGGAAAUUUGUGUGGGUCUCUUGAAAUUCGAACACUAUUAAACUAAAAAAUUUCAUUUUAGGGCCCAUGCUUUUGUGGAUAAAUAUCAUAAGAAAGUUGAUCAAUUUUCUUAUUGACCAACUUACCUGUUCUCAUAUGUCUUUAGAUGGAUAAAUCAUUUUUCUAUGGAUAGCAUUUAUCCAUGAAAUGGGAGGAAAGU